UACAGAGGUCUCAAGCGUUGUUCGGAUUCAUUGGGCGUAAAGGGUGCGUAGGCGGCGCGGUAAGUCGGGUGUGAAAUCUCGGGGCUUAACUCCGAAACUGCAUUCGAUACUGCCGUGCUUGAGGACUGGAGAGGAGACUGGAAUUUACGGUGUAGCGGUGAAAUGCGUAGAGAUCUGGAGGAACACCGAUGGCGAAGGCAGCCUUCUGGGCCAACACUGACGCUCAUGCACGAAAGCGUGGGGAGCAAACAGG
rnacentral:rRNA from 1 species